UAAUAAAUACGUCUAAGAUGAGUAGCCGUUGUUGGAAUGCCUUAGAGAACUGCCGGUUGGUGCGAGGUAGCCAUUUCGCAACGUUGAAGAUGGUCUUAUAAUGCAAGUUUCAACGCUGAGCUGACGGGGUUAAGCGUUGACGGCUACGCCCGUUAUGCGGUUAGAGUCUCGCUAAGAAUUUUCAGUGGCGGUACUUGAAGUGCGGUGGCCUGUGAGGGUCAUUUGAAGUAAGGUGGUAACACGGAAAAACGUCCAUUCGUCCUUAAU
rnacentral:ncRNA from 1 species